UUUUACCUAUACUUGUGAAAAAUAAGAACAAUAAGCCAAAUGGCGAAAAGUAUAGUGCCAGUAACUUCGCACAUGUCGAACGCCCAUGGGAUAUGAGGAACGUUAUCCAAAAAUAUAUCUGGCAAAGGUGGCAAGUGAGAUGCAUGUCCAUCUUCCGAUACCGAAGCUGAAUAAAAUUCAUUCUCUAUGGAACCUUCAUUAUUUGUACCAGUGCUAGGCAUCUAUUGCGAUUAAUUAUAAAAUGUAAAAUAUGACAAUUUGUUAAAUAAUUCAUUUUAAAGCAAUCCAAAGUCAAGUGCUAAUUGUAACAAAUACUGACUUCGUGUUUGUGAUGGCCAUAAAAGUGCGGUGAUGUAAACAAAUCGACACAUCCCAACUCGAACAACAUCGCGACGUUGUCUCUUUGUAAUUGUUUAAUACUUAUACACAAUCUUUUUAAGUC